UCUAGCUGAAAUGAAAAUCAUCCCGUAGCUCCAUCUUCCAAAAACAUUCCAAACUUCAAAUCAUCAUAACUCUUUCGUUUCUUAACGGAAUUGAGUGAUUCUCGCGGCCACAGAACGAGGAAAGAAUCCUCUACUGGAUUUUGGCUUCAAAUUGAGGAUAAUCUUGAGUUUAUAUGGAGCAAUAUGGAUGGUGAAUUCAUACUUAGGCCUUUGGUUUUGAUCAUCAAUCAAGGUUCGACAAGUCAACCUAAUAGCGGAAAAGGAGCUCAGGGAGCUUACGCUAUAAAUAACAAGGAUUUUGGAGAAGCAAGUUGUGAGUAUAUUUUACUUACUCGCAUUAUCGUAAUUAAAUUUAUGGUUAUAUACUAUAUGAAUAGUACUUGAACGCAUCGCAAAUGUGUAUUGUUUGGAUUGUUUUGAAUUGGAUUUCUUGGAUUAAAUUGGUUUGGAUUAAAUUACUUUGGAUUAAA